rfam:Glycine soja cultivar W05 scaffold8773_4, whole genome shotgun sequence.
AUUACAAAAAAUGUUGACGGCCACGUGUCACAUUCUGAUUGGACAUGAAAAGGUGCGCUGAAGAACCAACUCUAACAUUUUUCUGUUUGUCAUCCAAUUAGAAUGUGACACGUGAUAGUCAACGUUU